rnacentral:lncRNA from 1 species
UUUUAAGACGGAGCUUUGCUCUUGUCACCCAGGCUGGAGUGCAAUGGUGCAAUCUCGGCUCACUGCAACCUCCACCUCCCAGGUUUAAGUGAUUCUCCUGCCUCAGCCUCCCAAGUAGCUGGCAUUACAGGCACCCACCACCACGCCCAGCUAAUUUUUUUUGUAUUUUUAGUAGAGACGGGGUUUCACCAUGUUAGUCAGGCUGGUCUCAAACUCCUGACCUCAGGUGAUCCACCUGCCUUGGCCUCCCAAAGUGGUGGGAUUAUAGGCGUGAGCCCCCGCGCCCGACCAAAUUGUCCUACUUCUAACGGAUGUCCUCUCCCACCUCCUGUCCAGCCACCGUGCCCAAGGAACAAAGAGCCAUUUUGAACCCAGGGAUCUUCCUGCGUCCCCCCUUCCUUCUGAUGCCAACUCACCAGGCUGGGGACGCCCCCAGACAGGUCACACACCCUGCCCGUAGGCCAGGCCCUCACACCUUCCACCUGGCACCCACUCAGCCCCUCUCCCAGGCUGCCUCCUCCUCCACUAACGUACACCUGUUUUCUUCCUCAGAAUUAACCCUGCGACGGGGCAGUGUUGCCCCUUAACCUCUCUUUUCUCUUCUCUGGGUCAUAGCCUCCUGGCUUCCAACUAACUCUGGGCCAGCGGGAGGUAGCUGAGUGAGGAGUGGGGCCGGCGGGACUGGACCGGACCGUGGGCAUGGGGAGCAGCGGCCAGGACUCCCCUCCUUGUUCCUUUCGAGUGACCUGAAAGCAACAAAUUCCUUGAUUGCAGAGGGGACAGGGGAACAGAGAGGCAGGGCUGGGACGUAGUCACAGACACUUACACGCCAGCUUGGGUGAUGGGAGCUGUCCACAUUUGCAAGUUUCAUUCAUUCAACAAGUUUUUUUUUUUGAGACGGAGUCUCACUCUGUCACCCAGGCUGGAGUGCAGUGGCGCAAUCUCCACUCACUGCAGCCUCCGCCUCUGGGGUUCAAGCGAUCCUCCCACCUCAGCCUCCCAAGUAGCUGGGAUUACAGGUGCAC